rnacentral:rRNA from 1 species
AGCAGCCGCGGUAAUUCCAGCUCCAAUAGCGUAUAUUAAAGUUGUUGCAGUUAAAAAGCUCGUAGUUGAAUUUCGGGAUCAAAUUGUCGGUCGUGCCUCGGUACGCACUGGUAUUAUUGGUUCCUACCUUCUGAAGAACCGCGAUGUCAUUAAUUUGGUGUCGUGGGGAAUCAGGACUGUUACUUUGAAAAAUUAGAGUGUUUAAAGCAGGCUUACGCUUGAAUACAUUAGCAUGGAAUAAUGAAAUAGGACGUUUGAUUCUAUUUUGUUGGUUUCUAGGAUUGACGUAAUGAUUAAUAGGGAUAGUUGGGGGCAUUAGUAUUCAAUUGUCAGAGGUGAAAUUCUUGGAUUUAUUGAAGACUAACUACUGCGAAAGCAUUUGCCAAGGAUGUUUUCAUUAAUCAAGAACGAAAGUUAGGGGAUCGAAAGACGAUCAGAUACCGUCGUAGUCUUAACCAUAAACUAUGCCGACUAGGGAUCGGAUGAUGUUAAUUUUUAAUGACUCAUUCGGCACCUUACG